CCCGGCUCGGGCUGCCGCUCACCAGAACCACUCGCUGCCGAAGCUGGGCACCGAGAACAAGCCCCAGUGGAUGAACACGCCGAACUUCGCCUCGUCAAACCAGGCGGGCAGCGGCCGGGCGUCCAGCGAGCCCCAGGUGUCACUUUGCUUCUCAAAAGAAACCUUUAGAUGCCUUUGACCUCUUGUAUGAGAUCCUUUCUGGAUUAUCUUUCAAUUUCUUCAUGUUCUCCUUUUUGAUCGCACCAAAGAAUUGCAGACACUGAGCAGCUUCUUAAUGUGAGAAUUUUGAAGCAUACACUCUGUACAGCACGACAAAGGUACAAUUGCUCUGUAGCUCAAAAUGUUUGGAAGAAAAAAUGAUGUUAAAAAAGUCAGGGUCUGACCCAAAGCUCGCUGACCUGCUGUAAACUCUGGUGAGGUUUGGAGCAGGGACUGUGUAUUUCAAUAAUGAACUUGAUCACACCCCCUAAAAAAGGAAAAAAGGAAGGGAAAAGAAAAGUGGCAAACAUUUCAGUAAACAGCAGUGAUGAGUACACUUCUGAUUAAAGUAUAGAUAGGUCCAGAAAAUGUCACCAGCCCAUACAUGCCCAUGUACUGAAAUCCCUGUUGGGGAAAAUAGUCCUUUUUGUACUGUUACAUUUGUAACGAUGCAAGCUGCAAAGGGUAAAUAAUAAAAAUAGCACAUUGUCAGAUUUUGUAAAUAACACAGGACUGGUGUGCGCAGCUGCAAAAAGCUCUCUAAGCGUGGGUACCACGUUCCUGCCUGUGUGACCCCCCCCCGUGAGAGGGGCUGGAUGGAGCCCGUGCCUCUCCCUCUCACAGUCCCGCUGGGAAAGCUCUGUGGCUGGGGAAGGCUGGUCUGUCAGCAGAGGGAAGGAGAGGAAACAAUGAAGGCAAUGCCCUGAGGGAAACUGAGCAGAAAAGACCUUUCGACCUGACUAAUGGCUGACAUACGAGACUCCUGUGCUGGAUCAAUUGCUUCGACAAAUGCGGAGAGUGACUGCUGGGAAGACCACAAAACCCCUGCGCCUGGGGAGCUGCACGGGCUCGGCGUUGAGAUGAAGACUUGGGUGGAAACAGAAACCAGAAACUGAAUUUCACGUGGACAGCUUUCAGACUUGAUAGGUUUUGAAUCAGACCUGAAGAGUCGUAGUUGUUAAAAUGCAGCUUGAAUGCAACUUUCACAUUGAAUAACUAUGCAACUCUGGACGCAUUAAAAAUAUAGGCUGCA